UACGGGGGGAGCAAGCGUUGUUCGGAUUUACUGGGCGUAAAGGGCGCGUAGGCGGCGCAACAAGUCACUUGUGAAAUCUCCGGGCUUAACCCGGAGCGGCCAAGUGAUACUGUCGUGCUAGAGUGCGGAAGGGGCUACUGGAAUUCUCGGUGUAGCGGUGAAAUGCGCAGAUAUCAGGAGGAACACCUAUUGCGAAGGCAGCUCGCUGGGACGUAACUGACGCUGAGACGCGAAGCGUGGGAGCAACAGG
rnacentral:rRNA from 1 species